AGCACUAGAUGGACACAAAUCAUUCUUACAAAAAGAAUUGAUUUUGUCAUCUAAAGGAUUAACUAGUGAUUGGAUACUCACAACAAGGCUUUGGUCCUUAUGCAACCUAUCAAUACCAAGAGUAUCAAAAAAGGGAGAUUCAUAAACUUAUUCACUAAUCCAAUCCAAAACUACACCACUAUUGCUACUAGUAGCCACAUCACAACAAUUCAAGUUUCUAGGAGUGUAGAGAAUAGCUUUGUUACAUUGUAGAUCAUGAGAAGUAUUUUCUUCACUUGAUUUUGUACCAUGGAAACCCUCAUUCCCCACAUCACAAUGGAAUAUGUUAUGAUUUCCCCUUCAAUUCAUUUAUUCAUCAAUUGCACCAAGUUUAGAAUUUUUGACCAAGGGUUCAAUUAACUCAUCAACCGUGUGGAGGGGGGGGGGGGAAAUCCUUUUGGAUUCUUCUUUGAAAAUGUAUGUUAUUGAACCAGAACAUAAUAAGAAUCAAUUCUAGGCAAAAUGAUAGCACUUGGGUUAGUGAGUAACAAGGGUCCUUUAUGGACAAGAUCCAUAAUCAAGCAUUUCUUUUUCUUUUCUACUUCACUACCCGCUGUUUCCCUUCCCAUUUCCUUAUUUUCUUCACACUCUUCUUCUAUCUCAACAUCAAGCUUCUAUCAGUCUUAAAAACCGAUAUCUUCAUCACCCUCAAAUUCUAUCACCAUAUCUUCUCUCAGUUGUAUGGGGUUAUUUCAGUUUUGUGUAUCUUGGGGAAGAGGAAUUGGAUUUGGUUGGUGAUGUAUUUGGAUUUGUGGCAUGGGAUUAUUUAGAGGUUUUGGUGGACAUAGUGUAUACAAA
rnacentral:lncRNA from 1 species